rnacentral:lncRNA from 1 species
AGAGGAGAGGAGGAGCAGGAGCAGGAGCAGGGGCAGUGGAAGACGGUGCUUUCACACUGGAGUUAACCCAGCAGCCCCAAAGGAUGAAGCAUUGUGAACUGGGAAAAGGGAGGCAGCGUAAUGGUAAACUGAGGCAUUCUAGAAUGCUGGCAGCAUUUGCUCUUACAGGCGAUGUGUUAACUAAGGUCACUAGAGGUGAAUCAAUAUUUGUUCUUUUUAAUACAUUUAUAUGUAAAAAGUGACAAGAACUGGUUGUGACCUUGUCCUGUCUCUCCAUCACUGGCACACAAGAAGGCCCACCUAUCACGAUUCCUCACCUCAAACUAUCUGGCAGUUGCUGCUGGAACUGUAGGCAUUACACUGCUGAGUGAAAAAUAAUUUUCUAAAGGAGUUGUCUUUUGUCCUAUAGAAGGACAACAAAUGCUACAACUUGAUUUUGAGGGUGAAUCUAACUUUGGAUAAAGUCACUUUUUCCUUUCCUAAACAUUUCUAACAAUUUUAACAACAGGUCAUUUUUAUACAUAGUAGAUUCUUCAUAAAUAAUCCAGAACCAGUAACCACAUGCAGCCUGCAGGGGUCCAGAAUCACUGAUUGGAUAUACCAAGUGUUGACCGAAGCUGCCCUUUCUGAGACAGCCUGUCCUCCUUGGCCUGUGGACCUUUGUGACCCUGCAGUGGGGGUAUAGUGAGGCCUUUCUUCUGGAGACGGAACGACAAGCUUCUAAUCCCAGCUCUGUCACGUUCCUACUGGGCGACCUGGCAGGUACUCGACCUCUCUGACUUGAGGGGAUAUGCACAUUUCUUUAAGAAUGCAUGGAGUGAAUGAAAAUAACAUGGGGGUAUGAACCACAGAGUGAACAUGUACCACAAACAACUCUUGUUGAAAUAUACAGUCCCGGGAAAUGUCACCGUCUUCAUUUACUAAAGUGUGAUGGAGAGGGGGAUUGCUGAACAAUCCCAGGGACAGACGUCAUCAUGGAAUGUCAGAGACGCCAAGUUUUAUUGAAAUGAAAUCAUUAUCUCUACGAGUAUCGACUCUCCUAAAUUCAUUGCAGCAUUAUUCACAAUAGUCAAGACAUGAAAACAACCUAAAUAUCCAUUGACAGAUGAAUGGA